rnacentral:rRNA from 1 species
CAUUUAGUGGGGGACAACAUUCCGAAAGGAAUGCUAAUACCGCAUACGUCCUACGGGAGAAAGCAGGGGAUCUUCGGACCUUGCGCUAAUGAUGAGCCUAAGUCGGAUUAGCUAGUUGGUGGGGUAAAGGCCUACCAAGGCCACGAUCUGUAGCGGGUCUGAAAGGAUGAUCCGCCACACUGGGACUGAGACACGGCCCAGACUCCUACGGGAGGCAGCAGUGGGGAAUAUUGGACAAUGGGCGGAAGCCUGAUCCAGCCAUGCCGCGUGUGUGAAGAAGACCUUAUGGUUGUAAAGCACUUUAAGCGAGGAGGAGGCUACUUAGAUUAAUACUCUAGGAUAGUGGACGUUACUCGCAGAAUAAGCACCGGCUAACUCUGUGCCAGCAGCCGCGGUAAU